UGCUCGAGCUGCUUGGCGCGCGAGAGGGACGCAUUGCUGGCCUUCAAGCAAGCCGCCAACGACACCUACGACGUCCUCGCCUCGUGGCAAAGACGGCACAAAGAUUGUUGCCGGUGGUGGGGCGUCACCUGCAGCAAGGAAACCGGCCAUGUGAUCGAGCCUGACUUUGGUUACACCCUUUUGGACGGCAAGAUAAGCCCUUCCCUGCUUUCUCUCGAGCAUCUGGAGUACCUAAAUCUCAACUCCACCAACCUACUUGGACCAGACGGUACUUCUUUGUUCCCAGAAUUCUUGUGUUCUCUAAGCAACUUGAGGCAUCUCGAUCUCUCAUGGACACUGUUCUCUGGUAGAUUGCCUGCUCAGCUUGCCAACCUUUCAAAUUUGGAGUACCUCGAUCUCUCAUAUACACAGUUCUCUGGUAUACUGCCACCUCAGCUCGGAAACCUUUCAAACUUGCGACACCUUGACCUCGGUUACAUGCAAGAUAUACACAUAUCAGAUAUCUCAUGGUUAACUCAUCUCCAUUUCCUGGAAUAUGUUGACAUGAGUUAUAUGAAUCUGAGCAGCGCGGAUAUGUUUCUCGUGGCCAACACAAUCCCAUCUCUGAAAGCCCUUAUUCUUGUCAACUGCUCACUUCCAAAUGCAAACCAGUCGCUUACGCAUGUAAACCUCACAAAACUAGAGCAGCUUGAUCUCUCCAGUAAUUAUUUGGGCCACCGAAUUGAAACAUGUUGGUUCUGGAACCUAACAAGCAUCAAGGAACUAACACUCGAUUCAACCUAUCUUUAUGGUCCAUUCCCUGAUGUGCUAGGAGGUAUGAUUUCUCUCCAGCGGCUGGAAUUUACCAACAACGGUAAUUCAGCCACAAUGACAGUGGACUUGAAAAAUCUAUGUGAUCUAGAGAGCCUAAACCUCGAUGGGAGUCUUGCGUUUGCGGACCUAACAGACUUCGUGAUGAAACUGCCACAAUGUUCAUCCAACAAAUUGCGGUUCUUGAGCUCAAAUCACAACAAUAUGGCAGGAAUGCUGCCAGAUAGGGUGGGGCACUUCACCAGCUUGAAGUACCUUCACCUUUAUAAUAACAGCAUUACUGGAGCUAUACCAACUAGGUUAGUGAAUUGUACUAUUUUGCAUUCACUCGCUCUCGGUUUGAACCAACUAAGUGGCCAGAUACCAACAUUGCCGAGAAGCCUCAGUGAAGUGGACCUGUCCAUGAACAGCUUGUCAGGACCUUUGCCAUCAGAUUUUGGAGCUCCAUACCUUACAGUACUAAGUCUAUCCUCCAAUUACAUCACUGGUUACGUUCCUAGAUCUAUCUGUGAGUUGCAAAACCUAAUUUUCUUGGAUUUGUCCCAGAAUAGGUUUGCGGGAGAAUUUCCCAGGUGUUCUUCGAUGCCAAACUUGGCAUUCCUGCACUUAAGUAACAAUAGCUUCUCCGGGAGUUUUCCUCCAUUGCUCCAAAACUGUGCAAACUUGUUUUCCCUUGAUCUUGCAAUGAACGAGUUCGAUGGAGCACUACCAGUAUGGAUCGGAGACCUAGUGAACUUGCGGUUUCUGCAGCUAAACCAUAAAAUGUUCUAUGGGCAUAUUCCAGCUAACAUCACAAGUCUUGUACUACUUCAACUAUUCAGUUUGGCGAGCAAUAAUAUAUCAGGAUCAAUUCCGUCGUCCUUGUCUAAAUUAAUAGCUAUGACCCUGAAACAUCCGCCGAGACUUGAAUCAAUGUUGUUUAAAGGCACUCACGCGGUGGAUAUUUUGUCCGUUGUGAUGAUGAAGCAGCAAGAGCUUAAGUUCAGGGGUGAUGCAGUUAUUAACAUGGUAAGCAUUGAUUUGUCACUCAACCACUUGACCGGUGAAAUUCCAGAUGAGAUAACUUCUCUGAACGGACUGUUGAGUUUGAAUUUAUCAUGGAAUCACCUGAGCCACAAAAUCCCUGUGAAGAUUGGGGAUAUGAAAUCACUGGAAUCACUCGACUUGUCAAGGAACAAUAUCUCUGGUGAAAUCCCAACAAGCCUCUCAGAUUUGACAUAUUUAAGCUCCUUGGACUUGUCAUACAACAAUCUUGCAGGAAGAAUUCCAACAGGCCGUCAACUGGACACUCUGUAUGCAGAAGAUCCGUCAAUGUAUGAUGGCAACAGUCGCCUUUGUGGGCCUCAUCUUCAAAGGAAUUGCUCAGGCAACAGUCCACUGGAGCGUAGGAAUCAGCAGAGAAGUGAAAAUGCUUAUGACCCAGUGAUGUUCUUCUACAUUGGGCUAACGUCCGGGUUUGUGGUCGGGCUCUGGCUUGUGUUCUGUGCUCUACUGUUCAAAAGGGCGUGGCGACAUGCCUAUUUUCGCCUCUUCGACAAGCUAUGUCACAAGGUGUACGUGUUUGUUGUUGUUAUUUGGGGCCGGAUAAACACCAAGGCGACUGCAAGUUGA
rnacentral:rRNA from 1 species